CCUACGGGUGGCAGCAGUGAGGAAUAUUGGUCAAUGGGCGCGAGCCUGAACCAGCCAAGUCGCGUGAGGGAAGACGGUCCUAUGGAUUGUAAACCUCUUUUGUCGGGGCGCAAAAGACGCCACGCGUGGCGUUCCGAGAGUACCCGAAGAAAAAGCAUCGGCUAACUCCGUGCCAGCAGCCGCGGUAAUACGGAGGAUGCGAGCGUUAUCCGGAUUUAUUGGGUUUAAGGGGUGCGCAGGCGGAAGAUCAAGUCAGCGGUAAAAUUGAGGGGUUCAACCGCGUCGAGCCGUUGAAACUGGUUGUCUUGAGUGAGUGAGAAGUAAGCGGAAUGCGUGGUGUAGCGGUGAAAUGCAUAGAUAUCACGCAGAACUCCGAUUGCGAAGGCAGCAUACCGGCGCUCAACUGACGCUCAUGCACGAAAGUGUGGGGAUCGAACAGGAUUAGAUACCCUGGUAGUC
rnacentral:rRNA from 1 species